AGAGUUUGAUCCUGGCUCAGAAUGAACGCUGGCGGCGUGCUUAACACAUGCAAGUCGAACGAGAAAGGGAUUGCUUGCAAUCCUGAGUAGAGUGGCGCACGGGUGAGUAACACGUAGAUAAUCUACCUUUGAGCCCGGGAUAACUAAUCGAAAGGUUAGCUAAUACCGGAUGAAGUUAAUCGGCAUAAGUUGAUUGAUGAAAGACUGCCUAUCCUUGGAAGCAGUUGUUUGGAGAUGAGUUUGCGGACCAUUAGCUUGUUGGUGGGGUAAAGGCCUACCAAGGCGAGGAUGGUUAGCUGGUCUGAGAGGAUGAUCAGCCACACUGGAACUGAAACACGGUCCAGACUCCUACGGGAGGCAGCAGUGAGGAAUUUUGCGCAAUGGGGGCAACCCUGACGCAGCAACGCCGCGUGAGUGAAGAAGGCCUUUGGGUCGUAAAGCUCUUCAAUCGGGAAGAAGUUACAAGUGUCCAAUAGGCAUUUGUAUUGACGGUACCGGUGAAGGAAGCAUCGGCUAACCCCGUGCCAGCAGCCGCGGUAAUACGGGGGAUGCAAGCGUUAUUCGGAAUUAUUGGGCGUAAAGGGCGCGUAGGCGGUUUUGUCGGUCAGAUGUGAAAGCCCGGGGCUCAACCCCGGACGUGCAUUUGAAACAGCAAGACUUGAGUACGGGAGAGGAAAGCGGAAUUCCUGGUGUAGAGGUGAAAUUCGUAGAUAUCAGGAGGAACACCGAUGGCGAAGGCAGCUUUCUGGACCGAUACUGACGCUGAGGCGCGAAGGCGUGGGUAGCGAACAGGAUUAGAUACCCUGGUAGUCCACGCAGUAAACGAUGUACACUCGGUGUAGCGGAUAUUAAAUCUGCUGCGCCCAAGCUAACGCAUUAAGUGUACCGCCUGGGGAGUACGGUCGCAAGACUAAAACUCAAAUGAAUUGACGG
rnacentral:rRNA from 1 species